UCAGGCACUCCUUUGGUCGACUGUCUGUCAGUUAGUAUCAAUUUGCACACCUGUAUGGAGCUGAUGGAGGGCGGUGUGUCUGGCUAGGUUUGGGAGCUACUGACCGGAACAGGACUUUUUUGCUACAGUAUCCAGAUACACCUGAUACGACUCCUGCUUCACUUUACACAGUGCUGACAUAAGAGAACAAAGAGAAGGUGACGGUGUGAAACAGAAGCUACACUGUCCAAUCCCUGCUCUGCCAGAGUACGCCCUCAUAAACGAACACUGCUAAAGUUUUCUGUUUGAUCAGAAACUACACAAAGUCACUGUUUCCCGUGCCCCCUGCUAUAGUCCCUUAACAGCUCUGAGAAGAACUCCUAUGCUGUGAUCUCUGCUGUGCUCUGAUCCUCCAUCAAAAGACAUUUGUCUCCGAGAUGUACGGUAGCCUCCUUUCAUCUGUUUAUUCCUCAGCAUCCAAGGUUAAAUCUGCAAUGGAGGGAGAGUUGGAAAUUAGCUCGAACAAUAAAUGAUCCAGUUCAAGUUUCUCACUUCUCGAAAGCAACCGAACAAAAAUCUUUCCCAAUAUUAUCAACCAAAUUUCAUGCUUCACAUUGCAACCUCUCUCAUAUGUCCUACCUCUGUCCAUUGGUUUACAAGUUCUGGCAGCAUUACUAUGGCAAAAUGUCAAAAAUGUUCCAUUUAAACUUGACACUCUUAUCUCCCAGUCGAACAAACCAUUCAUUUGGAGCGCUUAUCAUUCAGCUCAUUACUGGCAAGCCAACACCUACUCCAUCUCUGAAAAUCCAGCAGCGUCCUCUCCCACGCUCAAUGGUUCCAUGAUGAAAUGUCUUUUCUUAAAUUUCGUAAAAUCAAACCUUCUCUUUGAGGCAAAUGUACUGGGAGAUCAGCAAAUCUUCAAAUUUGAGCUAAAAUAAUUUAUUUAAUUAACUAUAAAUCAGCAGAUAGCUGUAUAGCAUUAGCUUGCUUCCUCACUUGCAAAACACAAUCUGGAGCCACAUCAGUUUUUGUCUUUCUGUCCUUAUGUGCCUGUGCUGUGCUACCAGCCUGUCAUUUGUUGACAUUAGUAGUGGAUGCAGGGAGCUUGGUAGUGAGUGCAAAUGUCACAUUCUUUGUAUUCUUGUGGAGAGCCAUUUGACAUUCUUUAAAUAAGAAUCCGUCAAAGUGCUGUUACAGGCAACUGAGGAGGAAAACAUUUAAGUUUACAAAAUCCAUACAAAUACUCCCCCCCCAAAAAAGCAUGAACGGAACUUUGUCAUAGUGCUCAUUUAAUUGUUAUUUAAGGGUUUAGACUCAUCUUUGUUUUAUUUUGCUUUGUUUGCAGUCUUUAUUAAACUUUAAGAUAGCACUUAAACUUCUUUCUCACAGUGUACAAUUUAGAGAGGCCAUGUUUUGUAUUCUGAGGUCGUUUUAAAGCGUCUUCCUCUUUCUGCUUUACGCUCUGACACAUCAGUUGUUGAAAAGAGGGAGCCACAUUUAUCUUGACUUUUACUUUGACAAAGUGAAGUGGUGAACGCUUACAUCCAUUAUUCCAGUGGACAUAUCUGACAGCAGAGCAGUUUGUACAGUUUUGUGAAUCUGUGUCCAGUUUUGAACUGUUUUGAUCCACAGACUCUGCAAUAUUCCAGACAGCAAGUCAAUAACACUCUGUUCUUGCUUUUGUAACAGGCUGGAUUUCAGUGUUGGUUACACUGAACUUGUGAGAUUAGCUGGCUUCCACUACAGGUCUUUAUCCAGGUGUAUCAAAAACAUCUAGAGGGUUAAAUAAAUAAAAACAGCAGUUGCAUAUUUAUCAGUAAUGAUCUGAAAAUAUAAAAUCUAGAUAGAGAUCUGUUUAAAAUUUGUGCAAUAUAAUUUUUUGAACCUCCUCCCCUACAGUGUGUUCUUCUGACAUAGAUGGUUUCACAGCUGCUGCAUCUUCAUCCAGUUUAUUAUUUAUUUGUUUCAGCAUUAUUUCCUGCCUCGGUAGCAGCUGUUCCUUCUGAAGCCUGUGUUUGGCAGAUUGGCAAAAUUCAACAGUGAACUACAAGAAACAGCAUAAAUUAUUGCAGUUGAUGCUUCUUUGCAGUUUCAUACAGGCAUAUGUGCAGUCCAGUAUCACAGCAGAUUGUACUAUAUCUCUACUUUGCACAUAACCUCUAAUAGUAAAAAUAAAAUAACAAAAUAAAACUUAUAUAUGAAAAAUGCAGCUAAAAUGUUAACUGAUGUGCCUAUAAUAUCCUCCAUGUGUUUUACAUGUCAUCAAAACAGUUCAGACCUGCAUAGGGAAGACCUCUGAAAGUGCUAUAUGGUAUAUCAGACCUAGAGUUUUGCAGCAGAUCCUUUAAGUCCUUGGAGUUAUAAAUUGAAACCACCAUGGAUUAAAUUUAUUCCAGACUUAUCUCCCAACUCCCUGCUGAGGGUUCAUGGUUAAUGUCUCUUCAAGCAACUCUCAGGUACUCAUGACUGCUGAUUUAAAGCACAAGUAUUUUUGAACACUCAGUUGUCUGGCCAUCAUUAUUUUUCACAUGUUGACGUUAUUGAAGAACAUUACAGACUAAUGGAGGUAUCAGAAAUCAUUGUUACAAUGCAAUAUUUCUGCCCACUAUAUAUAAUGAAGUCAUUGUUGUUUGUACUGUUUUUGUUUGGGUUUUUUCAUUUUUUUUCUGUCUGACAGACUCAGUCUAUAACUUAAUUGGUGUCAAAUUUCCUUGCUCUCAUUCAGUUCCAUUCCUGGUCUAGCUGGCCCUGGUCCUCCCUGUCUCUGGUCUUUGCUACUGGCUCACUCAACAAACACAUAUCUGUUGUGAUACUCAUCAGUACCAUUGGGCUUCUCCAAGAAGGAUCUGAAAUGUUCUCUAACUUCACUGUGUUGCACCGUGGCUGGUUGAAGCAAGUUGGGAGGCCACUAUAAUUAGAUCAUACAGCAGGUGGAGAACUGGUUCUGUAAUGUAGAGCCUGUAAGGUCUACCUGCAGUCCAACACUUGGGAGAAUCGACUAAUAAUAUUGACUAGUUGGGAAUAUGUCGAAAGUGUACUUCGCGAAUAAAAUGCUAUAUCAAUUCUAAAUCACAUUUUUUUACAUAUGCAGACAAAUUUUAGAUGUUUAGAUAUUUAGAUGGCACAAAAAGUUGUGCUGUGAUGUUGAAUAUUACAGGAACUAUGAUAAAAGUCAAUGCAGACCAUUGUUCUGAUUCUGAAAAAUGUUUGCAUACACCAAAGUGGC